UUAGGCAUCCGGUCCAAGUACCCAGAUCUUCUGAGUACCCAUCUGUGAAAGGGGAUUUGCUGCACUUGUUGAGCUCAAGAUAAAGUACCAAAAUAAACUGGAUGUAAUGCCAGAUGUGAGGUCAUCACUUCCAUCAAGUUGAUGUGACUUUAAUGCACUCUUUGCUGAUGCAGCUACAUCCAUCUCCUCAAUAUUUCUCAAUAAAAAGGUCUGGACUCCUGUACUGCAGAGCUUACAUCUCUUAUUGGCUUGCCUGAACCUGAACCUGUGGACUCUUGAAACACCAGGUGAAGCCUGCCUGUCCCACUGGAGGAUGAGGAGGCAGAAGAAGGGAGAGUUACUCCAAGGAAGCAGCUUUUCUACUGGAGUUUCUGUUAAUAGCUGUGCUUACUUUGGUCUUCAUCAGCAGGAUACCGGAGCACUGCACAUUCACAGUGGACUUUAUCUUCACAGCACCCAGGGGAAGGAGGGUAAAACUAUCCUGAGUUUGUAAAGCUGAGGCAUAGGGUGGAUUAAAUGAUUUACCCAAGUUCACAAAGGGAGUCUGUGGUAGAGUCAGAAAAUAGCCACAGAUCAUUUGAUGCCUGCUUAAUUGCCUUGCCUCUGAAAGUAUUGGCGGGACCUGGCCCACACUGUGUAUUUAUGUGGUUUGCAUACCAGACCCCAGAAUCUGAGCUUUCAUUUUAAUGUAGCAUUUCUCUACCAUCCCUGGCUACCUGGAUGGCCUUCUAAAUGUAGUGAAGUCUGCUUGACCGAGCAGGAGGCAAAACAGGUAGAACUUAUCCAUCCUUUGUUCAUCUGACUGAUGCAUCAUUGUCAACAUUAACUGUUUAAUUGCUUGCCAUUUUCA